rnacentral:rRNA from 1 species
UACGGGAGGCAGCAGUAAAGAAUAUUGCUCAAUGGCCGAAAGGCUGAAGCAGCAACGCCGCGUGGAGGAUGAAAUACUUUUGUAUGUAAACUCCUGUGAGAAGGGAAAAAUAUGCAGAUUUUAUGCGUUGAUUGUACCUUCAGAGGAAGCCCCGGCUAACUAUGUGCCAGCAGCCGCGGUAAUAUGUAGGGGGCGAGAGUUGUCUGGAUUUACUGGGUGUAAAGGGUGUUCAGGUGGAUUUAUAAGUCAGAGGUGAAAUCCCAAAUCUCAACUUUGGAGCUGCCUCUGAUACUGCAAGUCUUGAGUUUGGAAGAGGGUAAUGGAAUAUCUGGUGUAGCAGUAAAAUGUGUAGAUAUCAGAUAGAACACCAAGGGUGAAGGCAGUUACGUGGUCCAAAAGUGACACUAAAGCAAGAAAGUGUGGGGAGCAAACAGGAUGAGAUACCCUGGUAGUCCACACCCUAAACGAUGAAUACUAGAUGUUGGUCCUUUUCAGGGUCAGUAUCCAAGCUAACGC